CUCGCCGUGGGGCGUCGGCGUGCUGCUCGCGCUGCUCGUCGUCAUGGUGUCCUACCACUCCAGCUUCCGCGACAGGUGGUUCCCCCUCGUCAGCCGGUGACGGACCAACGUGUUCAUCACCAUCCAAUCGGAGACUGCUUCGUCUGCUAAUCGAUUGGUGUUCUUGAUGAUGGUUUUUUUUUCUUUUUUUGUUUCUUCUUCAUUGUCCAUGUAAAAGUGUAAUAUUUUCUCCUCUUGAAAAUACAGCUGCGUGCCAUGCCACGUUGUUUGCCAGUCGAAACGAAUCAGUGGUGUCAGAUUAAAUUUUAAGAAACCGAACUGAAAUUCAAAAUUUCAGCAAAUUGUGC
rnacentral:lncRNA from 1 species